UCCAUCAGGGGAUGAAAAAGAGAAAUAUCUUAGGACACCUUCCUACACAGUUGUGUAACUGUGGAUGAGAAAUAAAAUCUCACUUCUGAUGAUGGA